CUAAGAAGGGAGCAUUCAUUGUUUUGUUAAUUGUGAUGAAGAUGCCAUCACAAUGGAAGAUGUCACCGGCAGAGCUUCUAAAAGGGACACGAGACAAACUGGAGCCCUCUGCCAGCGUCUAUUUUUUUCCCGUUGCUGUAAUUGUUCCAGAAGUUUGAAUUGUAUUUGUGAAACAUCUCUGAGUGAAGUAUCCUGGAUGGAUAAGAUCCCUGGCUGCCCUGGAACUCACCACACAGACAAGGCUAUCCUGGAACUCAGAGAGAUCUUCCUGCUACAGCCUCCCAAGUGCUGGGAUUAAGGGUGCGUGCCACCACACCUGGCUGACUGGUCAUUCUUCAAUGUGUCAACUCCACAGACACUGAAUUACACAUCAUUUGCAUGGAAGUACUUCCUUGACCUCUUUGGGGGUAAAAUGUGGAAAAAUUAGUUCAUCAUUCAACUGUGGGUCCACUGGGUGCUCACAGAACACCCCACUAAUGCACUCUUGUGAGAAAAAUCAGGGUCCGGGCAUUUCCUUCUUCUCCUCACCAUAGAGAACCUUUGCUGAGAUGUGUACACCCCCAGGCUGACGAGUGUCCAAAGAUGCUAGCACACCAGGCUCCAUGGGACGGUCAAGACCACAUACAUGUCUCGCAUGUACAAAGGUGUGAAGGAAAGCAAGAGCACAGCAACUAUGCCCAGUGUGGAACCUUCUCGCUUGUCUCCCGGAGAAGAUUAGCUCUUGUAUAAUUAAAACUUUUAACUCUUUUAAAAA